GGGGCAUCAAUGAUGAGAUGAUUAAAUGUUAUCCUUGCACUUUGAUUGUCAGUGAAGAAAAAUAGUGGGCAUUCUCUCUGAGAUGCUC
rnacentral:snoRNA from 1 species